AGAUUUGGGACCUUGGGACGAGGGGGUGCCUUCGGGAGCGCAGUGACAGGUGGUGCAUGGCUGUCGUCAGCUCGUGUCGUGAGAUGUUGGGUUAAGUCCCGCAACGAGCGCAACCCCCGUCUUUAGUUGCCAGCAUUGAGUUGGGGGCUCUACAGAGACCGCCGGUGAUAAACCGGAGGAAGGUGGGGAUGACGUCAAGUCAUCAUGCCCCUUACAUCCUGGGCUACACACGUACUACAAUGCUACGGACAAAGGGCAGCAAACUCCCGAGAGCUAGCAAAUCCCAUAAACCGUGGCUCAGUUCAGAUCGUAGGCUGCAACUCGCCUACGUGAAGGAGGAAUCGCUAGUAAUCGCAGGUCAGCAUACUGCGGUGAAUACGUUCCCGGGUCUUGUACACACCGACG
rnacentral:rRNA from 1 species